rnacentral:lncRNA from 1 species
AUGGCGCGUAGAGCCCCAGGAAAGCGGGGUGCUCGGGGCCGCCGCCACGCUGCCGGGGGGGGGGCCGGGGGCUCACCGUUGAGGCGGCAGCACCCCCCGUCCCCCCGCAGCAGCCGCUCGGCCAAGGCGCUGAGCAGAGCCCCCCGCGGGGGGACGGCCUCCUCCGGCGACGAGCAGGGGCUCCCCUCGGCCCCCCGCCACCCCGCAGCUGCCCCCAGACCCCGCAGAGGGCAGGGGGUCCAGCCCGGUGCGUCGGCCCCGGCCCGGGGUUCAGGGGAGCAGGGGGAAUCGGGGGGUCCCUGGGAGUGGGGGGGCCCCGGGGGGGGUCCCAGCAGAGGGUCCGUCUCCUCCAGCUUGCGCAGCACCUCCAGGAUCUGCGCUUUCUUCUUGAAGAAGGGGGAGAGGGCGUCCAGGGAGGGGGCGCCAGGGCUGAGCACGGGGCUGCCCGAGGGUCCCAGCGGGGUGGCCUGUGGGGACAGGGCGCUGUCACCCCGUGGGAGUGGUGGGGGUGGGCUAGGGGGGUGCCACGGGCUUGGGGACACCAGGGGUGGAGGGGUUGGGGACAGGGAUGGGACAGAACUGGGGGCAGGGACAGAACAAAGGGGUUGGGGACUGGGGACAUCACAGGAGGAGCAGGGGACGCUGUGGACCUGGAGAAGGGGACACCAUGGGCAUGGGGACGGGGACACCGUGGGCAUGGGGACGGGGACACCGCGGGCAGCCCCCACCCCAUGGCAGGGGGCUCAGGGAUGGGGAUGUUGGGGGCUCGCAGAGGGCUCACCACGGCCUUGGGGACACCCCAAGCCUGGAAAGGGCAAUGGAAAUGGGGACGGUGCAUGCAGGGGGGGCGGAGGCACCGGUACCCACCUCUGCCGGGGGGGCACAGCAGCCGGGGGGCAGCAAGGCGGGGGGCUCCUCGGUGGAGCCCAGCUGGGGGCUUCCUGGCACAUCCAGGGACACCGGCACCGGGUGCAGCGGCAGCUGGAGGGGAGGCAGCACCAGGUUAAAUGGCUGAGGGGGGGGGGCUGUGCCUCGCACCCACCCCCCGCAGCCCACCCCCAGCAUUAA